rnacentral:rRNA from 1 species
UACGAAGGGGGCUAGCGUUGCUCGGAAUCACUGGGCUUAAAGGGCGCGUAGGCGGUGCGGUAAGUCACCUGUGAAAUCUCCUGGCUCAACUGGGAGCUUGCAGGCGAAACUGCCGUGCUGGAGUGUGGGAGAGGUGCGUGGAAUUCCUGGUGUAGCGGUGAAAUGCGCAGAUAUCAGGAGGAACACCGGUGGCGAAAGCGGCUCUCUGGAACGGUACUGACGCUGAGGCGCGGAAGCGUGGGGAGCGAACAGG